rnacentral:rRNA from 1 species
UACGUAGGGGGCAAGCGUUGUCCGGAAUCACUGGGCGUAAAGCGCACGUAGGCGGCUUCUUAAGUCAGGGGUGAAAUCCUGGAGCUCAACUCCAGAACUGCCUUUGAUACUGAGGAGCUUGAGUCCGGGAGAGGUGAGUGGAACUGCGAGUGUAGAGGUGAAAUUCGUAGAUAUUCGCAAGAACACCAGUGGCGAAGGCGGCUCACUGGCCCGGUACUGACGCUGAGGUGCGAAAGCGUGGGGAGCAAACAGG